CUAAGGUUUCCAGAGUAAAGCUGAUCUGCUCUGGGUAAGUCGGGGCCUAAGGCCAGGUCGAAAGACGUAACCGAUGGACAACAGGUUGAAAUUCCUGUACCUUAAGUAAACAGAACUGUGGGGACACGUGUGGAGAGCACAAGCCGGAAAUGGAAAAGCCGGUGCAAGCGGGGUAGGAGUACAGUAGGCAAAUCCGCUGUACAAUCCGAAGACGUGAUGCGGACCGAAUUAAGAGUAGGGAAGUGUGUGAGCCAUGCGUCAAGAAAAGCCGCUAUUGUUUUACUUAAGCCCGUACCGUAAACCGACACAGGUGGAUGAGGAGAGAAUCCUAAGGCCGACGGGAGAAGCAUUGUUAAGGAACUCGGCAAAAUGACUCCGUAACUUCGGGAGAAGGAGUGCCAGCGAGAGCUGGCCGCAGAGAAUUGGCCCAAGCAACUGUUUAGCAAAAACACAGGUCUAUGCAAAACCGUAAGGUGAAGUAUAUGGGCUGACGCCUGCCCGGUGCUGGAAGGUUAAGAGGAGAGGUUAGCGUAAGCGAAGCUUUGAAUUUAAGCCCCAGUAAACGGCGGCCGUAACUAUAACGGUCCUAAGGUAGCGAAAUUCCUUGUCAGGUAAGUUCUGACCCGCACGAAAGGUGUAAUGAUUUGAGCACUGUCUCGACAACACGCCCGGUGAAAUUGAAGAACCAGUGAAGAUACUGGUUACCCGCAACAGGACGGAAAGACCCCAUGGAGCUUUACUGCAGCCUGAUACUGGGAUUCGAUGAUAUAUGUACAGGAUAGGUGGGAGGCUAAGAAGCGAGAACGCUAGUUUUCGUGGAGCCGCCGGUGGGAUACCACUCUUAUGUCAUUGAAUUUCUAACCUGCAUCCGUAAUCCGGGUGAGGGACAAUGUCAGGCGGGCAGUUUGACUGGGGCGGUCGCCUCCUAAAAGGUAACGGAGGCGCUCGAAGGUCACCUCAGAAUGAUUGGAAACCAUUCAAAGAGUGUAAAGGCAAAAGGUGGCUUGACUGCGAGAGCGACGGCUCGAGCAGGUACGAAAGUAGGACUUAGUGAUCCGGUGGUAUUAAGUGGGAAUGCCAUCGCUCAACGGAUAAAAGCUACCCUGGGGAUAACAGGCUUAUCACUCCCA
rnacentral:rRNA from 1 species